CCUACGGGAGACAGCAGUGGGGAAUAUUGGGCAAUGGGCGCAAGCCUGACCCAGCAAAGCCGCGUGAAGGAAGAAGGCUGUAGGGUUGUAAACUUCUUUUAAGAGGGAAGAGCAGAAGAGGGUACAUCUUGAAUAAGCCACGGCUAACUACGUGCCAGCAGCCGCGGUAAUACGUAGGUGGCAAGCGUUGUCCGGAUUUACUGGGUGUAAAGGGCGUGCAGCCGGGAAGACAAGUCAGAUGUGAAAUCCCGCGGCUCAACCGCGGAACUGCCUUUGAAACUGUUUUUCUUGAGUACCGGAGAGGUCAUCUGCAUUCCUUGUGUAGCGGUGAAAUGCGUAGAUAUCAGGAA
rnacentral:rRNA from 1 species